UACGGAGGGGGGCUAGCGUUGUUCGGAAUUACUGGGCGUAAAGCGCACGUAGGCGGCUUUGUAAGUUAGAGGUGAAAGCCCGGGGCUCAACUCCGGAAUUGCCUUUAAGACUGCAUCGCUAGAAUUGUGGAGAGGUAAGUGGAAUUCCGAGUGUAGAGGUGAAAUUCGUAGAUAUUCGGAAGAACACCAGUGGCGAAGGCGACUUACUGGACACAUAUUGACGCUGAAGGUGCGAAAGCGUGGGAGCAAACAGGG
rnacentral:rRNA from 1 species